ensembl:rRNA 5S_rRNA 5S ribosomal RNA
GUCUACGGCCAUGCCACCCUGAACAUGCCUGAUCUAGUCUGAUCUCGGAAGCUAAAUAGGGUCUGGCCUAGUAGGUACUUGGAUGGGAGACCACCUAGGAAGACUAGGUGCUGUAGGCU